UACGGGGGGAGCAAGCGUUGUUCGGAUUUACUGGGCGUAAAGGGCGCGUAGGCGGCCACCGCAAGUCACUUGUGAAAUCUCCGGGCUUAACCCGGAAAGGUCAACUGAUACUGCGGGGCUAGAGUGCAGAAGGGGCAACUGGAAUUCUCGGUGUAGCGGUGAAAUGCGUAGAUAUCGAGAGGAACACCUGCGGCGAAGGCGGGUUGCUGGGCUGACACUGACGCUGAGGCGCGAAAGCCAGGGAGCGAACGGG
rnacentral:rRNA from 1 species